GGUCUGAUUUGGGCAAAUUUAUCUUUUUGGCCAUUAUUUUCCCCUAAUGAUUCAAUAUUGUUUCUUUUUCUAUUUAUGUUUUUUUGGCCCUUUUUCCGUUGGGUAGAGUCAUCGCUCAUCUUCCUUAGCAAGCGACUCCAUCCAUAAUCUCUCAUCUUUCUGUGUAUUUGCUUUGUACAAGAAAACUCCCAUUUGUGUGUAGUUCAACCAUUCAUUCGGCCCUGAAAAACAGAGAAAAGACCCACAAAAUAUAUCUCACUUCCUUCCACUUUUUAGGGUUUAUUUUCUCGUUAUGCUUCCGGAAAGAUCCAUUCUUUCUUUGUUAUAACAGGUGAAUUUGUGGCUUUUUAGAUAUAACUAAUUGAGGAAGAGAUGGGUAGAGGUAGGGAUAGGGAUAUUUCAAGGUCUAGGUCGAGGUCGCCAGCAUAUAAGAGGAGAUAUUCACGGUCACCCUCGCCUGUGGUGCGCAGACAUAGCAGAAGAAGCAGGAGAGAUAGAAGCAGAUCCCCUUAUGCUUAUAGCAGGUGAUACCCAUUGGCAUAAAUUGAUUUAUGGAUUUGACAUAUAUGGAUUUUCUCCUUAUGUUAAUGUCUUUGGUUUGUAUGUUUUUUUUUGUAUGUACAAGGAUUUGUUGUUUUAUUAUUCUAAUAAACCUCACAUGUGUUUGCUGAUUCACUUACAGUUUGUUCAGGCAAUGUGUACGUGUUUGAUUCUUGAUAACUGUUGGUUUUUGUCUACCGUUUAUUGGAUGGACUUGCUGCGUUGAUCAAAAGGAUUUUAGGAUUUCGUAAUGACAACAUUGGUCUAAGAUGUGGUGGGAUUGAUGAUUGAUUAUUUUUGCUUGUAUUUUAAAGACUUUAAGAGGAAUUUUUAGUGACUGGUGCAUUUCUGUAGCACUAUGUCACGCCGACUGAUAAAUAAGUUUCAGAACUUUAACCUUUCUUUUAAUAAAAUACCUCAAUUUUCAUUUCAUUUGGUCAAUUUCCAUCACUGGAUAUCUAAAGCUCUGUUUUAAAGCGGGGAGAUUGGGGGUGCAGAUGUGUUUUGUGCUUCUGCUGCUAUAUUGACUUCAUUUUGUUCAGAUUGGUAUUUGCUCAUCAAAAUCCACUAGUCUUUUAUUUUAUGAGUUAGUGGAUAUCUACAAAAUCAAGUUAUGUACUUGUCGAAUUGACUUGUUGCUGCUACUAAGAGUUUUCAAUACCUGUCAUCACCAUAGUUAAAAAAAUUUUGGUUGUCGGUGUAAUAUGCUUUAUUGUAAGCUGAUUCUUGCGCUGUUCAGCUGCAAAUUUUCGUCCUCGGUCGGAUUGCAAUUCCGACGAUAUGCAUGAUCCUAAUGAGUAGAGUAAUAAUAGAAACCUAAAUGUAAUACCCGGUGCAAACCUAUGUUCUUCAGUGAGAAAUUAAAAGAAGUAAUUGCUUCCCUUCAUGGGAAGCAAGCAGGUCAUGGGUGCCGGUGAGUGUCCAUUGGUUGCUCGAUUGUGAUAUUAGCUGUUCCUAUGAUAAAAGACGGAGCUCGAGUUUAUUCUUUGCAAUUCAUGAGGUAACUGUACAUGCUUUAGUAUCUAAUUGAUUUGGAGGACUGGUUAGUAUGUCUGGGGAUGUGUAUGUUGUCUAGUGCCAAUAUAUGUUGUUGCUUAAAUGUUAAUCAUUUUUAUACAGAAAACGAAGUCGUUCAUUGUCCCCUAGGCGCCGCAAAAGUCGUUCUCCAGCCACCAGACGUCAUAAGAGUCGCUCUCCAAGGAACCAUAGGAGACAGAGAAGUAGGAGUACCUCAUUGUCUCCUAUUGGUAAGUCACCUGGUUCAAGUAUUGGAUCGAAGGAGCAAAAGGGUAUCAGUGAAAAAAAUAAACUUGAUGAAGAGGAGAAGAAAAGGUACUGCUGUAUUUGUAAAGCUUCUCAUUUUCUGUAGCUAUUUCUGUCUUGUAUUUUUCCUUUCCAUCUCUUCCUCAUCAUAUCGUAAGCUAUGCUGUUGUUUUGAGUAUGAAUUAGAACUUCUUCUAUACACUCUUUCAACUUUUGAGCAGACAUCUCUAGUUUCUGUACUGUUUUCCUGAAAUGUAUUGUGGAUAAAUGGGAAUUUUGUGUAGAAAUGUUUACACUGAGGCCACGGGAGAGUUUUUUCCUGAUUAGUUAUAAUGGACUGGCCUUUGGAGACUACAGAACAGAAUGUCAGUUCUUUAAUUGAAAGAUUUUUGUGAUGUGCCUGAUGAUGAGGUAGAUGUAGGAUCGGAUGGUGGGAAUUUUGGCGCUUUACUCCAUUGCCUGAAAAUGAGAAGAUUUUUAUUGUUCAUGGAAGCUCAGCUCUAAAAUUAAAAUAAACCUAGUCUGCAAGUGUUGAGUGGCAGAUAGUUGUAGAGUGUGGUAGACUUGAAUUGUUGUUGUGUAAUGUGCAUCUACUGUUUAAUGUAGCAUGAUAUUGUAACACUUGUAUACUUUACAUUUUUAUCUAACCUCCUUAUCCUUCUAAUUCAACAUGAAGGUAGUAAUGUUCCUCUCGGAAUAAAAGAAUUUCAUGGACAAUACCCCCCAAAAAAGAAGAUAUACAAUUAGCGCUGCUUGCCUGAGCUCUCUAGCUAUGCCUAAUGGAUCUGGGUUUUAUUGCACUCUUCUUCUUGCCUUAUUAUUUGUAAUCAUAGAAAGUUACCAGUUUCAAAAAAAAAAUAAAAUUAUUUGUAAUAAUAGGUAAAUGGCUAUAGGGUUGAUGGAGUUGAAUCUGUCUAUGUUGCAAGUGGAUUGCAAGUUUCUAUUGUACAUGUUAUAAGACAGCAUAAUGCAAAGAAUGCAGCUGGAUCACCAAGUAGCAAAACAAACAACAGCCAAAGUGCUGCAUGUAAUUAGUUAUGCCUUUUAAUUGGUUCAGCUUUUGCUAAAUUAUUUAAGGCUGAUAAAGAAAGAGAGGAAGGCACUACACCUUGAUCUUUGUUUGGUUAUUCUGCCAUGCUGCCCAUCAAUGGUCUUAUCUAUCCUUCAUUAGAUCAACAGAUGUGGCAACUGCAAGGACAGAUGUUACAUGUAUUUGCUAAAACAUGUUGUUUUCAUACCCAGCGUCACGAAAAGUUAAUAGGACCGGCAUAAUCAUGAAUGUACUUGUUAAUAAGGAACAUUUGACAAGAUUUAAUUUGGCCAUUAUUUAGUGUAGAUGGAUGAUGUCUAUUUGCUUCAAAUUUGUUGUCAAUUUCUAGUUGGCUUGAACAAGUUUCUUUAGUUCUGUUAUGCUCUAAUCUGAAUCUUGAACAGUUUCUUGUUACUCAAGCAUUGGGCUCAGGCUUCUUUUUGUCACCAUUUCUGACUAUUUUAGCUGACAUGUUGGCAAUUUUGGUCAUCUAUUUAAGAAGUAGAAACUUUUCUGUUUAAAGUUCCUACUUUUGCUGUAAAGUAUCUAGUAUUUUGGUGAUUAGCUUUAAAAAUUGCUACAGGUUAUUUGACAUUCUUCUCCACAGGCUUAUUUGGAGGAAGUUACUGCUAUAUUCCACUAAUUAAUUUUGAUGAUCAAUUGGGUGCUUCGUUUAUCUACUGUUCACCAGUUUUGAUUCUCAUUUGUUUGGACAGAAUUCAGGUAGAGGCGUCAAGAGGAAGCAGAACUGAGAUUAAUAGAA